GAUGAAGAACGUAGCGAAAUGCGAUACGUAAUGUGAAUUGCAGAAUUCAGUGAAUCAUCGAGUCUCUGAACGCACAUUGCGCCCCCUGGUAUUCCGGGGGGCAUGCCUGUCCGAGCGUCAUUGCUGCCCUCAAGCACGGCUUGUGUGUUGGGCCUCCGUCCUCCUCCCGGGGGACGGGCCCGAAAGGCAGCGGCGGCACCGCGUCCGGUCCUCGAGCGUAUGGGGCUUCGUCACCCGCUCUUGUAGGCCCGGCCGGCGCUUGCCGACACAUCAAUCUUUUUUCCAGGUUGACCUCGGAUCAGGUAGGGAUACCCGCUGAACAUAAGCAUAUCAAUAAGCGGAGGA
rnacentral:misc_RNA from 1 species